UUAAAUUGAGAGUUUGAUCCUGGCUCAGGACGAACGCUGGCGGCGUGCUUAACACAUGCAAGUCGAGCGAGGAAGUUCCUUCGGGAAUUUCCUAGCGGCGGACGGGUGAGUAACACGUGGGCAACCUGCCUGAUAGAGGGGGAUAGCCUCCCGAAAGGGAG
rnacentral:rRNA from 1 species